rnacentral:rRNA from 1 species
GACGAACGCUGGCGGCGUGCUUAACACAUGCAAGUCGAACGCUGAAGCUCAGCUUUUGUUGGGUGGAUGAGUGGCGAACGGGUGAGUAACACGUGAGUAACCUGCCCCCUUCUUUGGGAUAACGCCCGGAAACGGGUGCUAAUACUGGAUAUUCACUGGUCUUCGCAUGGGGGUUGGUGGAAAGGGUUUUUCUGGUGGGGGAUGGGCUCGCGGCCUAUCAGCUUGUUGGUGGGGUGAUGGCCUACCAAGGCUUUGACGGGUAGCCGGCCUGAGAGGGUGACCGGUCACAUUGGGACUGGGAUACGGCCCAGACUCCUACGGGAGGCAGCAGUGGGGAAUAUUGCACAAUGGGCGCAAGCCCGAUGCAGCGACGCCGCGUGAGGGAUGGAGGCCUUCGGGUUGUGAACCUCUUUCGCUCAUGGUCAAGCCGCAACAAUGGUUGUGGUGAGGGUAGUGGGUAAAGAAGCGCCGGCUAACUACGUG